rnacentral:rRNA from 1 species
UACGGGGGGGGCAAGCGUUGUUCGGAAUUACUGGGCGUAAAGGGUCUGUAGGUGGCUUGCUAAGUCAGACGUGAAAUCCCUCGGCUUAACCGGGGAACUGCGUCUGAUACUGGAUGGCUUGAGUUUGGGAGAGGGAUGCGGAAUUCCAGGUGUAGCGGUGAAAUGCGUAGAUAUCUGGAGGAACACCGGUGGCGAAGGCGGCAUCCUGGACCAACACUGACACUGAGGAGCGAAAGCCAGGGGAGCAAACGGG